rnacentral:rRNA from 1 species
ACCGNCUGAGAUCCCCUUCGGGGUGAACAUUGGUGCUGACGAGUGGCGGACGGGUGAGUUAAUACAUAGGAAUCUGCCCUUGUANUGGGGGACAACCUUGGGGAAACUCAGGCUAAUACCGCAUACGCCCUACGGGGGAAAGGCUUCGGCCGCUAUUGGAUGAGCCUAUGUCUGAUUAGCUUGUUGGUGGGGUAAAGGCCUACCAAGGCGACGAUCAGUAGCUGGUCUGAGAGGACGAUCAGCCACNCUGGGACUGAGACACGGCCCANACUCCUACGGGAGGCAGCAGUGGGGAAUAUUGCACAAUGGGCGAAAGCCUGAUGCAGCAAUGCCGCGUGUGUGAANAAGGCCUGCGGGUUGUAAAGCACUUUCAGUGGGGAGGAUUAUGACGUUACCCACAGAANAAGCACCGGCUAACUCUGUGCCAGCAGCCGCGGUANUACAGAGGGNGCGAGCGUUAAUCGGAAUUACUGGGCGUAAAGCGCGCGUAUGCGGCUUGGCCAGUCGGAUGUGAAAGCCCCGGGCUUAACCUGGGAAUUGCAUUCNAUACUGCCAGGCUANAAUGUANUACAAGGGAAGUGGAAUUCCGGGUG